UCAAAUCUCAUUCUGAAGUUUUAAAGAGACAAGAUAGAAAAAAUAUUGAAUUAAUUACUACUGCAUAAGCUAGCAGCUAAUACUUACAUUUGUGUGAUUCAGAUUUACAGCUGGGUAUCUCGAAUUCCGAGGUUCUUACCUAAUUUAAGUCUAAGUUGACUGGACCAAAUCUUAUCUUUCAGCAUACGAGUUCAAUAUUCAUAGUUGGUUUUAGUACCAAAAUUGUUUGCAACUGCGAAGCACCUGUUUUACGUAAAAUUACAAAAUGUGUUGUGUGUGUAAUCUCCUCUGCAAGAUCAUUAGUUUUAUCUUCUCCCUCCUGUUCUUGGUGGGACUCAUACUGCUCAUUUUGUGGCUGACUGGAGUCAUAUUCGACAGAGUGUCGAAUGACCCCGCAAGAAUAACAAGAAGCAUAGAGGCCCCACUGAAUAUGAACGCGGCGUUGAAAUGGCAGUUAUAACAUAAUUAAGGCUAUUUA